rnacentral:rRNA from 1 species
AUGUGCUCCAAGGCGGCGCCUUCAAGAAGGGUUCGACACCGGAGCGCCGCCACCGCCCAAUCCAAAGAUCAGAGUUUCCCCUGGAGCCGCAUGACGGGCAAUGAGAGCCGCAACGACGCCUUUAAGAAGGGAACGAUCUUCGCCACCGCCGGUCCGUCCGAAGAUAGAACAUGUUUUCACCUCGGCCAACACUCACCGCCACCGAACGCCACACCCCGGCAACCACACCGCCCACACAGCCAUGGUGACCGGGCAAUGCCAAGGCAUGGGCUCCGCCCAAGAGCACCGCGCUACCACCACCAGGGCCGCCGCCCCGGCAUCCAAGACCUUGACACCACCUCACCCGAGACCCGCCGCAACCCCAACGAAAGAGACGAGCAGAAAGGUCCCACCUUUCGCACCCCUGGGCGACCCCAGCGUCGAGACCCAAUAGGCCGGACAGAACUGGCAUCCACCGACCCGUCCUGCUGCCCCGAGCGCGAGACGAGCUCGGUCCUGCAGCACCGAGAGGGGGACGAGGUCAGUCCUGCUGCACCGUGCGCGAGACGAGCUCGGUCCUGCAGCAUCGGGCGCGAGACGAGCGGUGGACCGCAGCUGGGAGAGGACCAGUCCUUUGAUGAGAGUAGCGGCCGGGCGACGAGGAGAUGGAGCAAAGGUCGAGACGGUCCGCACGCAGACGAGCCGACGCCGGAGAAGCCGGCCGCUGUCGCGGGCAGAACCGUCGAGCCACCGUGA